rnacentral:rRNA from 1 species
UGAGGAAUAUUGGUCAAUGGGCGCGAGCCUGAACCAGCCAAGUCGCGUGAGGGAUGACGGCCCUACGGGUUGUAAACCUCUUUGUCGGGGAGCAAAUUCCGCCACGUGUGGCGGAGUCGAGAGUACCCGAAGAAAAAGCAUCGGCUAACUCCGUGCC